GGGAGGCAGCAGUGGGGAAUAUUACACAAUGGGCGCAAGCCUGAUGCAGCCAUGCCGCGUGUAUGAAGAAGGCCUUCGGGUUGUAAAGUACUUUCAGCAGUGAGGAAGGUGGAUGUGUUAAUAGCGCAUUCAUUUGACGUUAGCUGCAGAAGAAGCACCGGCUAACUCCGUGCCAGCAGCCGCGGUAAUACGGAGGGUGCGAGCGUUAAUCGGAAUUACUGGGCGUAAAGCGCAUGCAGGUGGUUUGUUAAGUCAGAUGUGAAAGCCCGGGGCUCAACCUCGGAAUUGCAUUUGAAACUGGCAGACUAGAGUACUGUAGAGGGGGGUAGAAUUUCAGGUGUAGCGGUGAAAUGCGUAGAGAUCUGAAGGAAUACCGGUGGCGAAGGCGGCCCCCUGGACAGAUACUGACACUCAGAUGCGAAAGCGUGGGGAGCAAACAGGAUUAGAUACCCUGGUAGUCCACGCCGUAAACGAUGUCUACUUGGAGGUUGUGGCCUUGAGCCGUGGCUUUNGGAGCUAACGCGUUAAGUAGACCGCCUGGGGAGUACGGUCGCAAGGAUUAAAAACUCAAA
rnacentral:rRNA from 1 species